ACACAGAAUAAGUUACAGUGCAGCUAGUGCAAUUCUGUUGUUCCCCCUGCUCACAGAAACCCCUUUCCUACUAUCCCUGUCCCGUCUGCAUACCAUGACUGGCAGGGAUGCUUGGUUUCAGACAA
rnacentral:snoRNA from 1 species